CGGGUGAGUAACACGUGGGCAAUCUGCCCUUCACUCUGGGACAAGCCCUGGAAACGGGGUCUAAUACCGGAUAUGAGCCUGGGAGGCAUCUCCCGGGUUGUAAAGCUCCGGCGGUGAAGGAUGAGCCCGCGGCCUAUCAGCUUGUUGGUGAGGUAAUGGCUCACCAAGGCGACGACGGGUAGCCGGCCUGAGAGGGCGACCGGCCACACUGGGACUGAGACACGGCCCAGACUCCUACGGGAGGCAGCAGUGGGGAAUAUUGCACAAUGGGCGAAAGCCUGAUGCAGCGACGCCGCGUGAGGGAUGACGGCCUUCGGGUUGUAAACCUCUUUCAGCAGGGAAGAAGCGCAAGUGACGGUACCUGCAGAAGAAGCGCCGGCUAACUACGUGCCAGCAGCCGCGGUAAUACGUAGGGCGCAAGCGUUGUCCGGAAUUAUUGGGCGUAAAGAGCUCGUAGGCGGCUUGUCACGUCGGGUGUGAAAGCCCGGGGCUUAACCCCGGGUCUGCAUUCGAUACGGGCAGGCUAGAGUGUGGUAGGGGAGAUCGGAAUUCCUGGUGUAGCGGUGAAAUGCGCAGAUAUCAGGAGGAACACCGGUGGCGAAGGCGGAUCUCUGGGCCAUUACUGACGCUGAGGAGCGAAAGCGUGGGGAGCGAACAGGAUUAGAUACCCUGGUAGUCCACGCCGUAAACGGUGGGAACUAGGUGUUGGCGACAUUCCACGUCGUCGGUGCCGCAGCUAACGCAUUAAGUUCCCCGCCUGGGGAGUACGGCCGCAAGGCUAAAACUCAAAGGAAUUGACGGGG
rnacentral:rRNA from 1 species